AAAUCCGGUUCACUUUAACACUGAGGCGUGACGACGAGGCACUACGGUGCUGAAGCAACAAAUGCCCUGCUUCCAGGAAAAGCCUCUAAGCAUCAGGUAACAUCAAAUCGUACCCCAAACCGACACAGGUGGUCAGGUAGAGAAUACCAAGGCGCUUGAGAGAACUCGGGUGAAGGAACUAGGCAAAAUGGUGCCGUAACUUCGGGAGAAGGCACGCUGACACGUAGGUGAAGUGAUUUACUCAUGGAGCUGAAGUCAGUCGAAGAUACCAGCUGGCUGCAACUGUUUAUUAAAAACACAGCACUGUGCAAACACGAAAGUGGACGUAUACGGUGUGACGCCU
rnacentral:rRNA from 1 species